UACGUAGGGGGCGAGCGUUGUCCGGAUUUAUUGGGCGUAAAGAGCGUGUAGGCGGCCAGGUAAGUCUGCUGUGAAAACUCGAGGCUCAACCUCGAGACGUCGGCGGAAACCAUCUGGCUAGAGUCCGGAAGAGGAGAGUGGAAUUCCCGGUGUAGCGGUGAAAUGCGUAGAGAUCGGGAGGAACACCAGUGGCGAAGGCGGCCCGCUGGACCAGUACUGACGCUGAGGCACGAAAGCGUGGGGAGCAAACAGG
rnacentral:rRNA from 1 species